rnacentral:rRNA from 1 species
GCAACUCGCCUACAUGAAGUCGGAAUUGCUAGUAAUCGCGGAUCAGCAUGCCGCGGUGAAUACGUUCCCGGGCCUUGUACACACCGCCCGUCACACCAUGGGAGUCGGUAACACCCGAAGCCUGUAGUCUAACCGCAAGGGGGACGCAGUCGAAGGUGGGAUUGAUGACUGGGGUGAAGUCGUAACAAGGUAUC